rnacentral:rRNA from 1 species
UGGCGGACGGGUGAGUAUCGCGUAGGAACGUAUCCUGAGGUGGGGGACAACCCUGGGAAACUGGGGCUAAUACCGCAUAUGGACUGAGGUCCAAAGCAGCAAUGCGCCUUGGGAGCGGCCUGCGUCCGAUUAGGUAGUUGGUGGGGUAAAGGCCUACCAAGCCUGCGAUCGGUAGCUGGUCUGAGAGGACGAUCAGCCACACUGGGACUGAGACACGGCCCAG